rnacentral:sRNA from 1 species
CAGCUCUUUCAAGCAUCAAAGAGGGCAAGACGGUUGAGUUUGAGGAUGGAAGAGAUGCAGAAUUUGACAUCAUCAUCUUUGCUACUGGAUACAACAGCACUGUGCUGAAGUGGCUUAAGGAUUAUAGAGAACUGUUCAACAGUAAUGGAAUGCCAAAACCAGGUUUUCCAAAUCACUGGAAGGGAGAGAAUGGUCUGUACUGCGCUGGAUUUUCAAGAAGGGGAUUAGAUGGCAUUGCUUUUGAUGCACAGCGUAUAGCUGAUGAUAUCAGUAUGACUACAAGUGCAAGAGGUCCCGAUUGUGACGAUGCCAACUUAGCUUCCCUCAAAC